ACCUCCUCACGUGGCGCUUUAUCACCUCACAUCCUCCCAGGAGGAAGCACACGACAGAGAGAGGGCACAGUCACAUAACCUGUGUUUCAGUCCUGUCGCAAUCACUCUGUUUUACCAGAUCCAGGAACUAAAGCCACAUCAGAUGUUUAAGGAGCUAGAGAAACAUCUAAGUCCAUGCACCAAAUGAGACAGGUAAGACACUUGGCACCAGGUAUGAAUAUUUGAAAAAUUAUCUCUACGAAACAGAAACCGUAUUAAUGAAUAAUCUCGGGGAUGAAGAGAAGACCAGUGGCUGAUAAUGAAGGCUUCGGGGAUUCCAACAGUUACUGGAUAGUAAGCUAAGAACCCUGCAUAUUAAAUAGAGGAACAUUUAUUUAAAUAGAAUAGAAGCCCUGUCUCCUCAGUAACUACAGGAGACGCCUGCCAACCUAGGCACUAAACGUUUGCCGGGUUGGACGGAGCGCGCGGCCGGAGGGAGAGGCACCUGGGAUGCGGGAAGAGAAUUCGUGGACGGCAUACGUGUUGGGGCAGGGGCUGCAGCGCGCAGGUGGUACUGGAAUCCACAGGAACAGUCACAACUCGUGCGAAGAGUGUGGAGGAUGAGGAGAGGUCAAGGGCAGAGUCCUGGGCACGCUGGCGGCCGAGAGCGUG